rnacentral:misc_RNA from 1 species
GAUCCUCAAAAAAAGAGCAAUAUAUGAUCAAUACGGAGAAGAAGGGCUCAAAGGCCAGGUGCCACCACCAGGUGCUGGUGGUCCUGGAGGAGCAACUUUCUUCUCAACUGGAGAUGGCCCGACAGCGUUUAGAUUCAAUCCCAGAAAUGCCGAUGACAUUUUUGCCGAAUUCUUUGGUUUCUCAAGCCCAUUUGGAGGAAUGGGAGGUGCUAGUGGCAUAAGAGUUGGUCCAAGGUCCUUUGGUGGAAUGUUUGGUGAUGAUAUUUUCAGUUCUUUCGGUGAGGGACGCCCAAUGAGUUCAGCUCCUCGUAAAGCUCCUCCAAUUGAAAAUAAAUUGCCUUGUACCCUUGAGGAGCUUUACAGGGGGACCACUAAAAAGAUGAAGAUUUCAAGGGAAAUUGCUGAUGCUAGCGGGAAAACCUUGCCAGUGGAGGAAAUAUUAACCAUUGAUAUCAAGCCUGGCUGGAAAAAGGGAACAAAAAUCACUUUCCCUGAGAAAGGCAAUGAGCAACCAAAUGUUAUCCCUGCAGAUCUCGUCUUU